GUUUUUAUGUGUUAUGAUGAACAUAUAUUACCUUUGCAAUGUACAUGACCUAAUUUAGAAAACUAUAUAUCAAAACUGAAUUUUCAUAUUUUAGAAAAUUGUCCAAAAGCUGUGAAAGCAUUCUGUUUUAAAUUACUAAUAGAUAGUAUAUAGGUAUCCUCUAUUAUCUACCUUGCAGUACUUCCAUGACACUGAUAAUUUUCUACCCUGUAUUUCAUAGCAUGAAUGUUCCCUGGGACUUUUGGCAACAAAAAUGUUCCUAGAGUCCUUUUGACAGAGCCUUGUCCUCUCGUAGAAGAGAGGUUUUCAGAUCUCUUCCUAUUUGGAAUUUCACAGCGCUGUGGUCAGCCUGAGCAAAUAAGAAUAUUGAUAGGCUUGAAAGGCAAGAACCUCUUCAGAGAAUGAACUUCAUUAGUCACUAACCCAAGAUCCCAUCAGCUGAGACAGAAUUUCCAGAGCAAAGGGAAGUGAGAGGUUCCCCCUGCCAUGCAACUUUGCAUCAUUCUAG
rnacentral:lncRNA from 10 species